rnacentral:rRNA from 1 species
GUCUUUUUGUUAAUAAUUUAAAGUCUAAUCUGCCCACUGAUUUUUAAAAUUAAAGGGCUGCAGUAUUUUGACUGUACAAAGGUAGCAUAAUCAAUAGUCUCUUAAUUGGUGACUUGAAUGAAAGAUUUGAUGAAAUAUAAACUGUCUCUAUUAAAUUUAUAAAAUUUAAUUUUUUAGUUAAAAAGCUAAAAUUUUUUUAAAAGACGAGAAGACCCUAUAGAGUUUUAUAAUUUAUUUAUUUAUAAUUUUGUUUAAAUAUUAAAGUUAUAAAUAAAUAAAUUAUUUUAUUGGGGUGAUAGAAAAAUUUAAUAAACUUUUUUUAAAAUUUUUACAUUAAUUUAUGAAUAUAUGAUCCGUAAUUUACGAUUAAAAGAUUAAAUUACCUUAGGGAUAACAGCGUAAUUUUUUUUUUUAGUUCAAAUAAGAAAAAGAGUUUGCGACCUCGAUGUUGGAUUAAGAUAAAAUUUAAAAUGCAAAAGUUUAAAAUUUUUGAUCUGUUCGAUCAUUAAAAUCUUACA